AGGCGUCAUAGAGGGUGAGAAUCCCGUAUGUCACCGUCCUGUCAAUCUUUGUGAAGCCCUUUCGACGAGUCGAGUUGUUUGGGAAUGCAGCUCUAAAUGGGUGGUAAAUUUCAUCUAAAGCUAAAUACCUGCCAGAGACCGAUAGCGCACAAGUAGAGUGAUCGAAAGAUGAAAAGAACUUUGAAAAGAGAGUUAAACAGUACGUGAAAUUGUUAAAAGGGAAGCGCUCGCAAUCAGACUCGAUUACAGGGGUUCAGCCACUCUUUGGGAUGGUGUAUUCUCCUGUAUACGGGCCAGCAUCGGUUUUGACGGGCGGAUAAAGGUCUUGAGAAAGUAGCUCUCUUCGGGGAGUGUUAUAGCUCGAGGCAUAAUGCGUCCUGUCUAGACCGAGGAUCGCGCUUUUGCUAGGAUGCUGGCGUAAUGGUUGCUAGCGACCCGUCUUGAAACACGGACCAGUGAGUUCUCGUCAUAAUGCUGAUGGUUGAAUUUUUGCUAAUCAUGUCACAGAGGAGUCGACCAAUCGCGCGAGUGUUUGGGCGUAAAACCCAAGCGCGCAGUGAAAGCAAACGUAGGUGGGAGCCUUUGGGCGCACCAUCGACCGAUCUUGAUGUCUUCGGAUGGAUUUGAGUAUAAGCACGGUUGGUCGGUCCCGAAAGGUUAGUUGAGUGUUUGUCUUAAAGUGAAAAUUUAUUGCUAACAUCUUUCAGAUGGUGAACUAUGCGUGAAUAGAAUGAAGCCAGGGGAAACCCUGGUGGAAGUUCGCAGCGGUUCUGACGUGCAAAUCGAUCGUCAAAUUUGCGCAUAGGGGCGAAAGGYAUUAUAAUCGAAUCUGAUAGUUCAAGUACMAUUUAGCUAMCGUUAUAUAGACUAAUCGAACCGUCUAGGUACGUUAAUUCGCGGUUUGAGAACACUGAGUUUAAUCAUACUAAUAAUUUCUACAGUAGCUGGUUCCUGUCGAAGUUUCCCUCAGGAUAGCAGUAACGAAAUAAUAGUCUCAUGAGGUAGAGCGAACGAUUAGAGGCCUUGGGGCUGAAACAGUAAGUUUGUCCUGUUUAACAAAAUAAUCAUAUGGCUA
rnacentral:rRNA from 1 species